rfam:Anas platyrhynchos breed Pekin duck contig12796, whole genome shotgun sequence.
AGAUGUGAGUGCGAUCUGGCUGUGACAUCUGUCUGUCACCCCAUUGAUCGCCAGGGUUGAUUCAGCUGAUCUGGCUGGCUAGGCGGGUGUCCCCUUCCUCCCUCACCACUCCAUGUUCAUCCUUCCUGAAGCUACAUGCUCAGUCAAAGAGAAGAAACUUCCCCAAUAAAGGCACACCAUUCAUCGAUCAAGGGUAUAUGGUAGGCUGCACUCCCCUGCUAGAACCUCCAAACAAGCUCGAGAUCAAGAUCAACCUCUAGAAAAAUAUUCACCAUUUAAAUAAGAAAUACUCAAU